UGAACGCUGGCGGCAUGCUUUACACAUGCAAGUCGAACGGGGUUGAGGGGGCAACUCUCCAUUCAGUGGCGAACGGGUGAGUAAUGCGAUCGGAACGUAUCCCGUAGUGGGGGACAACGCCGCGAAAGCGGCGCUAAUACCGCAUAUGCUCUACGGAGGAAAGUGGGGGACCGCAAGGCCUCACGCUAUGGGAGCGGCCGAUGUCCGAUUAGCUAGUUGGUGGGGUAAUGGCCCACCAAGGCGACGAUCGGUAGCUGGUCUGAGAGGAUGAUCAGCCACACUGGGACUGAGACACGGCCCAGACUCCUACGGGAGGCAGCAGUGGGGAAUAUUGCGCAAUGGGCGAAAGCCUGACGCAGCAACGCCGCGUGAGGGAUGACGGCCUCGGUUGUAACCGUACUUCUAGCAGGAGAAGCGAAAGUGACGGUACCUGCAGAGAA
rnacentral:rRNA from 1 species